UUUGGUGAUUGCAGCGACGGGGAAACACCCGGUCCCAUCCCGAACCCGGUCGUUAAGCCCGUCAGCGCCGAUGGUACUGUGCCGGCAGCGGCGUGGGAGAGUAGGUCAUUGCCAAGC
rnacentral:rRNA from 1 species